GGUGGAGCUCAGUGGUAUAGCAUGUGGUUAAUAUGCACAAAGUCCUGGGUUUAAUCCCUAGCACC
rnacentral:tRNA from 1 species